rnacentral:rRNA from 1 species
CAACGGAUCUCUUGGUUCUGGCAUCGAUGAAGAACGCAGCGAAAUGCGAUAAGUAAUGUGAAUUGCAGAAUUUAGUGAAUCAUNGAAUCGUAGAACGCACAUUGCGCCCGCCGGUAUUCCGGCGGGCAUGCCUGUCCGAGCGUCAUUUCACCACU